rnacentral:rRNA from 1 species
AUUGAACGCUGGCGGAAUGCUUUACACAUGCAAGUCGAACGGUAGAGGGGGCAACCCCUCGAGAGUGGCGAACGGGUGAGUAAUAUAUCGGAACGUGCCCAGUCGUGGGGGAUAACGUAGCGAAAGUUACGCUAAUACCGCAUACGAUCUAAGGAUGAAAGCGGGGGAUCGCAAGACCUCGCGCGAUUGGAGCGGCCGAUAUCAGAUUAGGUAGUUGGUGGGGUAAAGGCUCACCAAGCCAACGAUCUGUAGCUGGUCUGAGAGGACGACCAGCCACACUGGAACGGAGAAACGGUCCAGACUCCUACGGGAGGCAGCAGUGGGGAAUUUUGGACAAUGGACGCAAGUCUGAUCCAGCCAUUCCGCGUGCAGGAUGAAGGCCCUCGGGUUGUAAACUGCUUUUGUACGGAACGAAAAGGUCUCUCUUAAUACGGGGGGCUCAUGACGGUACCGUAAGAAUAAGCACCGGCUAACUACGUGCCAGCCGCCGCGGUAA